GACAGAGGGUGCAAACGUUGUUCGGAAUUACUGGGCGUAAAGCGCGUGUAGGCGGUUAUGCAAGUCGGGUGUGAAAGCCCGGAGCUCAACUCCGGAAGUGCAUUCGAUACUGCGUAGCUAGAGUACUGGAGAGGAUGGUGGAACUCUCGGUGUAGAGGUGAAAUUCGUAGAUAUCGAGAAGAACACCGGUGGCGAAGGCGGCCAUCUGGACAGAUACUGACGCUGAGACGCGAAAAGCGUGGGGAGCAAACAGG
rnacentral:rRNA from 1 species